rnacentral:rRNA from 1 species
CUUGCUUAUUUAUGAGUGGCCGGACCGGCGCGACGGGUGAAGUAACGCGUACUCCAACCCUUCCCUAUACUAGAAGAAUACGGCCCGGCGAAAGUCGGAUUAAUGCUCUAUGUUCUUCUUUGAUGGCAUCUGACGAGAAGCAAAGGUUUACCGGUAUAGGAUGGGGAUGCGUCUGAUUAGGUUGUUGGGCGGGGUAACGGCCCACCAAGCCUACGAUCAGUAGGGGUUCUGAGAGGAAGGUCCCCCACAUUGGUACUGAGACACGGACCAAACUCCUACGGGAGGCAGCAGUGAGGAAUAUUGGUCAAUGGGCGAGAGCCUGAACCAGCCAAGUAGCGUGCAGGAAUGACUGCCCUAUGGGUUGUAAACUGCUUUUAUAGGGGAAUAAAGUGAGGUAUGCAUGCCUUUUUGUAUGUACCCUAUGAAUAAGGACCGGCUAAUUCCGUGCCAGCAGCGGC